rnacentral:rRNA from 1 species
UACGUAGGGUGCGAGCGUUAAUCGGAAUUACUGGGCGUAAAGCGCGCGUAGGCGGUUUUCCAAGUCGGGCGUGAAAGCCCCGGGCUCAACCCGGGAAAUGCGCUCGAAACUUGAAGACUGGAGGCCGGAAGAGGGUAGUGGAAUUCCCAGUGUAGAGGUGAAAUUCGUAGAUAUUGGGAAGAACACCAGUGGCGAAGGCGGCUACCUGGUCCGGAUCUGACGCUGAGGCGCGAAAGCGUGGGGAGCAAACAGG